rnacentral:rRNA from 1 species
UACGUAGGGUGCAAGCGUUGUCCGGAAUUAUUGGGCGUAAAGAGCUCGUAGGCGGCUCGUCGCGUCGGCUGUGAAAACCUGGGGCUCAACUCCGGGCCUGCAGCCGAUACGGGCGAGCUAGAAUUCGGUAGGGGAGACUGGAAUUCCUGGUGUAGCGGUGAAAUGCGCAGAUAUCAGGAGGAACACCGGUGGCGAAGGCGGGUCUCUGGGCCGAUAUUGACGCUGAGGAGCGAAAGCGUGGGGAGCGAACAGGAUUAGAUACCCUGGUAGUCCACGCCGUAAACGUUGGGAACUAGGUGUGGGCCUCAUUCCACGAGGUCUGUGCCGCAGCUAACGCAUUAAGUUCCCCGCCUGGGGGGUACGGCCGCAAGGCUAAA